rnacentral:rRNA from 1 species
CAAGUCGAACGCGAAAGUUCCCUUCGGGGAGCAAGUAGAGUGGCGCACGGGUGAGUAACACGUAGGUAAUCUACCUUCGGAUUGGGAAUAACAACCGGAAACGGUUGCUAAUACCGAAUAAUGCAGCGGCACCUAAUGGUGACAGUUGUUAAAGCGGGGGAUCGCAAGACCUCGCGUCUGAAGAGGAGCCUGCGGCGGAUUAGCUAGUUGGUAAGGUAAUGGCUUACCAAGGCGAUGAUCCGUAGCCGGCCUGAGAGGGCGGUCGGCCACACUGACACUGACAUACGGGUCAGACUCCUACGGGAGGCAGCAGUCGGGAAUUUUGGGCAAUGGGCGAAAGCCUGACCCAGCAACGCCGCGUGAAGGAUGAAAUCCCUCGGGAUGUAAACUUCGCAAGAACGGGAAGAAUAAGUAGGAGUUAACACCUCUUACGAUGACGGUACUGUUUGUAAGCUCCGGCUAACUCCGUGCCAGCAGCCGCGGUAAUACGGGGGGAGCAAGCGUUGUUCGGAUUUACUGGGCGUAAAGGGCGCGUAGGCGGCGAUUGCAAGUCAGUUGUGAAAUCUCCGGGCUUAACCCGGAAAGGUCAACUGAUACUGCAGGGCUAGAGUGCAGAAGGGGCAACUGGAAUUCUCGGUGUAGCGGUGAAAUGCGUAGAUAUCGAGAGGAACACCUGCGGCGAAGGCGGGUUGCUGGGCUGACACUGACGCUGAUGCGCGAAAGCCAGGGGAGCGAACGGGAUUAGAUACCCCGGUAGUCCUGGCCUUAAACGAUGAAUGCUUGGUGUCUGGGGUUUUAUAGUCCCCGGGUGCCGUCGCUAACGCUUUAAGCAUUCCGCCUGGGGAGUACGGUCGCAAGACUGAAACUCAAAGGAAUUGACGGGGACCC